UACGGAGGGUGCGAGCGUUGUUCGGAAUCACUGGGCGUAAAGCGCGUGUAGGCGGCCUCCUCAGUCUGGUGUGAAAGCCCGGGGCUCACCCCCGGAAGUGCAUUGGAUACUGGGAGGCUGGAGUACCGGAGAGGAGGGUGGAAUUCCUGGUGUAGCGGUGAAAUGCGUAGAUAUCAGGAGGAACACCGGUGGCGAAGGCGGCCCUCUGGACGGAUACUGACGAUGAGACGCGAAAGCGUGGGGAGCAAACAGG
rnacentral:rRNA from 1 species